rnacentral:rRNA from 1 species
UGAAACUGCGAAUGGCUCAUUAAAACAGUUAUAGUUUAUUCGAUAAUUUUCUACAUGGAUAACCGUAGUAAUUCUAGAGCUAAUACAUGCUGUCAAACCUGACUUCGCGGAAAGGUUGUAUUUAUUAGAUAUAAACCAAUACCUUCGGGUGUUGUGAUGAUUCAUAAUAACUGAGCGAAUCGAGGUCGUACCUCGAUAGAUCGUUCGAGUUUCUGCCCUAUCAGCUUUCGAUGGUAGUGUAUUGGACUACCAUGGCGGUCACGGGUAACGGGGAAUUAGGGUUCGAUUCCGGAGAGGGAGCCUGAGAAACGGCUACCACUUCUAAGGAAGGCAGCAGGCGCGUAAAUUACCCAAUCCUGAUUCAGGGAGGUAGUGACAAGAAAUAACA